CUGCAUGGAAACCAAGGGCUGUAGCCUUUUUGAGUGACUACUGCUCUCCAACUACAUGCUACAGCAAUGUGAGGGGACUUUAACCAAUCAGAUUUGUAUCUGCUGUGGCUACGCAUCCCCUCUAUAAAA